UACGUAGGGAGCAAGCGUUGUCCGGAAUCAUUGGGCGUAAAGCGCGCGUAGGUGGCCUCAUAAGUCCGCUGUGAAGGUCAAAGGCUCAACCUUUGAAAGCCGGUGGAUACUGUGAGGCUAGAGUACGGAAGAGGCGAGUGGAAUCCCUGGUGUAGCGGUGGAAUGCGCAGAUAUCAGGAGGAACACCAAUAGCGAAGGCAGCUCGCUGGGACGUUACUGACACUGAGGCGCGAAAGCGUGGGGAGCGAACAGG
rnacentral:rRNA from 1 species